UACAGAGGUCUCAAGCGUUUGUUCGGAUUCAUUGGGCGUAAAGGGCGCGUAGGCGGGCCGCCAAGUCAGAGGUGAAAGCCUCCAGCUCAACUGGAGAAGUGCCUUUGAUACUGGCGGUCUCGAGGGAGAUAGGGGCGUGCGGAACUUCCGGUGGAGCGGUGAAAUGCGUAGAUAUCGGAAGGAACACCGGUGGCGAAAGCGGCGCGCUGGAUCUCUUCUGACGCUGAGGCGCGAAAGCCAGGGGAGCGAACGG
rnacentral:rRNA from 1 species